rnacentral:rRNA from 1 species
UUUAAAUUUAGAGUUUGAUCCUGGCUCAGGACGAACGCUGGCGGCGUGCUUAACACAUGCAAGUCGAGCGAUGAAGCUUUCUUCGGGAAGUGGAUUAGCGGCGGACGGGUGAGUAACACGUGGGUAACCUGCCUCAAAGUGGGGGAUAGCCUUCCGAAAGGAAGAUUAAUACCGCAUAAUAUAAGAGAAUCGCAUGAUUUUCUUAUCAAAGAUUUAUUGCUUUGAGAUGGACCCGCGGCGCAUUAGCUAGUUGGUAAGGUAACGGCUUACCAAGGCAACGAUGCGUAGCCGACCUGAGAGGGUGAUCGGCCACAUUGGAACUGAGACACGGUCCAGACUCCUACG